CCAUAGUAGCACGAGUAAAGGCUGUUACCUUAUUUGUUUUCAGAGUUGCAGCUGUGAUGCGUCCUUAUACUAUAUCUUAAUAGAAGGCACUUUCUAAGACGGACAGAGAGAGAGAGAGAGAAUAAGCUUUAUUGGAACCAACUUUCUGCAAGGGGAGCGGGCACAGACGACCAGCUGGCGCUGGCCUUCCAGGCUGGAGCUGAGCAGCACAGCCUCUUAUUGGGAUGUGCGAGGCAUAGGAGGCGCAUGUCAUAUGGUGCUGCAGCAUCAACUUUUGCCAGCAGUUGACCUUCUGCAAGUGUCGACAGAACGUCUCUUCUGUUUUAUCUAUAUUGCAAUAAAUAGCUUUUCAACAAGAUC